UGGCUCAGUGGUAGAGCAUUUGCCUUGCAGGCAUGAGGCCCUGGGUUCGAUUCCUCAG
rnacentral:tRNA from 1 species